rnacentral:rRNA from 1 species
GACGUAGGGCGCGAGCGUUGUCCGGAUUUACUGGGCGUAAAGAGCGCGCAGGCGGUCGAUCAAGUCGAGUGUGAAAGCCCCCGGCUCAACCGGGGAGGGUCAUUCGAUACUGAUCGACUCGAAGGCAGGAGAGGGUAGUGGAAUUCCCGGUGUAGUGGUGAAAUGCGUAGAUAUCGGGAGGAACACCAGUGGCGAAGGCGACUACCUGGCCUGUUCUUGACGCUGAGGCGCGAAAGCUAGGGGAGCAAACGGG